GACGAACGCUGGCGGCAUGCCUAAUACAUGCAAGUUGAACGAUGAUAUUCUCUGCUUGCAGAGAAUUGAAGAGUAGCGAACGGGUGAGUAACACGUGGGGAACCUGCCCAUGAGAGGGGGAUAACAUUCGGAAACGGAUGCUAAUACCGCAUAAUGCUUUGGACCGCCUGGUCCAGAGACGAAAGACGGCUUUUGCUGUCACUCAUGGAUGGCCCCGCGCCGUAUUAGCUAGUUGGUGAGGUAAUGGCUCACCUAAGCUGUGAUACGUAGCCGACCUGAGAGGGUGAUCGGCCACACUGGGACUGAGACACGGCCCAGACUCCUACGGGAGGCAGCAGUAGGGAAUCUUCCACAAUGGGCGAAAGCCUGAUGGAGCAAUGCCGCGUGAAUGAAGAAGGUCUUCGGAUCGUAAAGUUCUGUUAUUAGAGAAGAACAAGUCGAGGAGUAACUGUCUGGACUUUGACGGUACCUAACCAGAAAGUCACGGCUAACUACGUG
rnacentral:rRNA from 1 species